rnacentral:misc_RNA from 1 species
AACGCAUCUUGCGCUCCCUGGUAUUCCGGGGAGCACGCCUGUUCGAGUGUCGUGAAUACCUCAAGCUGGACGCUUUCUUGGCGUCUCAUGCUUGGAUUUGGACUUUGCCUGUUGCCUAGAGUGACGGGCUGGUCUUAAAUGCAUUAGCUGAUCCAUGCUUGUGUACUUGGUUCUACUCGGCGUGAUAAUUAUCUGACCGCUGAGGACAUUUGCCUUGUUGCGAAUGGCCAGGUGUACCUUGGGUUGCUUCUAAUCGUGGUUACACACAAUAUUUUUUCAACUUUGACCUCGAAUCAGGUGGGACUACCCGCUGAACUUAA